CGCACACAUGUAAUAUCUGUGAGUUUUGUAAUAUCUCCCGUUUUGCAAGAGAAAAGGGACUGGGAUUCCAACUGUCAGCGGAGAGUGUUGUCUGCAACCAGAAAAUCAGGAUGGAUCCGUGACCUGCCAAUACCUCAGGUCAAUAAGCAUGCCAUUCUUCUUUUUUUCCUCGAUGAUGC